GUGAACAAUUUUAAGGACUAAUCGAUAAAUCCUCUCUUUAUCGAAUUUGAAUAGUCUUAAGGACUUCAUCAUAACAACAGAGUUCAUUAGAAGAUGAAAGCUUAUGAUAAAAAUAUCAAAUAUAUUUUAUUUAUUAAUAAAUCAAUUACCAUACAAGAUUGCUCAACCGUCAACCAGCUGACGAUUGAUUUUUGGGAUACAUUUCCCAACAUAUACUACAUCUAAUGUAUGUAAAAUAUUAUAGAUCAGAUCUAUUACCUUACA
rnacentral:lncRNA from 1 species